AAUGACGGCAACGUGGAUUUCCUAUUUUGGGGAGCUGCAGCCCCAAACUGGACAAAAUCGAUAGAUCCCUUCCAUCUUUUCUCCUACGUGCGGAUAUAUUGAAAGAUCCGAUCUCAGAGCCUCAGAUUAGAAAUUUGAAGACGACGAGGGACUACAGAAUCCAUUCUUACUGCAAAAAAGCUUCUUCAUAGUCGUUGGAAGUUACCUAUGUUUGCUACAAUGGAAAGAUUCUCAAGCAAAUGGUCACAUCCUAUAUGGUAUCCCCCAGGGAAGAACAAUAGGCCCUUGGUGCCGCUAUAGCUUUUGCAAUAUCUGAUGCAAUGAUGUGAUCAUUUGACACUGACAAAGUUGCCAACAGCUCUCCCAAGUUAUCUCUAAUAAUGACCAUCCACUGCCGCAUUCCAAUUAACCUUAACAAAACCAAGAGUUAUAUUUGAAGAGGAUAUUUGAUGAGAGUUAUAUUUAACAUUAGCUAAAUAGUAUGUUAAAUAGUGUUUUUUAUUGGGUGAAUUUUAGAAGAAAAAAGAAAAUAGAGAGAGUUUAAUGUGAAUGCAUAUUAUAUUUAGGUAAAUCAUAAAUUUGUAGAAGAAUUUUAAUUUGAUAUAUUUAAUGCCAAAUCAUGUUCCUUAAAUUCCUCUUGGAACAAAAUCUACACCUUCCCCAUCUUGUGCAGACAUAUAAAAAAAAAUAAUAAUAAUAAUAAUAAUAAUAAUCUACACCUGAGGAGUAUAUAUAGAUAAAUAUAAAAAGUUUAUUUUCAUCAAACUAGUGAAGAUGAAAUCCUUUAUUCCACUGGCCGUAGCUUUUGUGCUCUUGGUAAUUUUCAGCCAAUGCUCAGGAAUGGCGCAUGCAAAUUUGGUGGACAACACAUGCACGAAGACCUAUAGCCCUGUCUUUUGUAUGUCGAUUUUAAGGGCAGACUCGGGCAGCGCCAACGCCGACUUGAAGGGACGUGGAUCCUCUCCAUUUCAUCUCCAUUUCAAAUGAAAUGGAGAGGAACAAGUUGUUUUUAGGGGGGUAAUUUUGCCAUUUUACUUUUUUUGGACAAAAAUGCCAUCUUAAAACAACAAUUUCCCUCCAUUUCAUUUGAAAUUUGAAAUUGAGAGGAUGCUUCUCUUACUUGAAGGGCCUUGCCCCCAUAAUGUUGCAUGCUGUGCAAAACAGGACCAAUGAAACUUUUGCCCAAAUGAAAAAUCUGCUCGGGCAAGCAAGCGAUCCGAUCAUCAAGGAGAUGCACAAUGUUUGUCGUACUGAAAUCAAACUGUUUGAUUGCAUCCCGACAAAUGAAACUUUUGGGCAUGUGGUAUAUUUGAUUGGGCAGACAAGUGACCCAGUUAUCAAAGAGAUGCUUAAUGGUUGUUGUAUUUGGCCACUGUGUACCAAAGCCGUCGACGUUAACUGAUCUGAAUAAUCUUGUUUACACCCUUGCCCGAAUAGCCAUGGACAUUAUAUCCACCUUUAAUUUGGUUAUUUAUUAUGUUUAAUCAAGCCUACUUUAUUGUAGCACUACAAUUUUCAAGGAACAAGAGAAUAUAUAUAUAUAUA